UCGGGAAUUUUGGGCAAUGGGCGAAAGCCUGACCCAGCAACGCCGCGUGAAGGAUGAAGUAUUUCGGUAUGUAAACUUCGAAAGAAUAGGAAGAAUAAAUGACGGUACUAUUUAUAAGGUCCGGCUAACUACGUGCCAGCAGCCGCGGUAAUACGUAGGGACCAAGCGUUGUUCGGAUUUACUGGGCGUAAAGGGCGCGUAGGCGGCAAUUCAAGUCAUCUGUGAAAUCUCCGGGCUUAACUCGGAACGGUCAGAUGAUACUGCUUUGCUAGAGUGCAGAAGGGGCAAUCGGAAUUCUUGGUGUAGCGGUGAAAUGCGUAGAUAUGUGGAGGAAUACCGAUGGCGAAGGCAGCCCCCUGGGCUAACACUGACGCUCAUGCACGAAAGCGUGGGGAGCAAACAGGAUUAGAUACCCCAGUAGUCCCUGAGCGGGCUGGCAAGGCGCAU
rnacentral:rRNA from 1 species